rnacentral:misc_RNA from 1 species
AGGCUUGGUUCAUCAAAAUUUUUUUCAAGCUUAAGCUUAACUCGUUUAGAAAACAAAUCAAAUAUUAAUAAGCUCAAACUCGGCUGAUUUGGAAAUGAACUGAACAAAGCUAAGCUUUUAUCUAGCCAAGUUUCGAACAGUUUGUAAGUAGUUCAACUCAUUUACAACCUCAGUGAGUUUUAGGUUUAGAAUUAUGAAGUUUAAAAUUAUAGUUUUGAUUAUAUUUAAGAUAAUAAGUUUAAAACUAAAUAAUUUUA